GGCGAUCAAAGCAAGGCACUCACUAUCCACAUUAUCCAAUAGCUCAUGCAUUUAAUACCUACAGAAGUCACACGGAUGAAACACCGAACAUGAUUUCUCACUGGGGUCCAGCCCACACGAGGGUGCAUCUCUAUCUCUUUUUUUUUUAUCUAGGGUUGAUGUUUUCGGCCAACGUGGACCCGUUUAUUUCCUCGAACACACACCUCUACUCUACAAGAAUUUAUACGAGAGAGGGAUAUAUAAACAGUAAGGAUCAACUAGCCAAAUGAAAUUUGGCUUAGCAAUUGACAAAUUAAAACACGGGUAUGGAGUUUAAUUUUUGGAAUGUUUUCCGGUGUUUUCGAGUUAUUUAAAGUAUUUUGUAAUUUAUGGCUUCUUGUCACUGAAAUACUAUUGUGCUAGUUAUGCAAUAAUAUUAGCUUAAUUUAAAUUAACAUGGUUUUCAGUAUACCAUAUAUAUAGGCAUCAGUUUUCUCACAGAAAAAUGCUUA
rnacentral:lncRNA from 1 species